rnacentral:rRNA from 1 species
UACGGAGGGUGCGAGCGUUGUCCGGAAUCACUGGGCGUAAAGCGCACGUAGGCGGCUCGUUAAGUCGGGGGUGAAAUCCUGGAGCUCAACUCCAGAACUGCCCUCGAUACUGACGAGCUCGAGUCCGGGAGAGGUGAGUGGAACUGCGAGUGUAGAGGUGAAAUUCGUAGAUAUUCGCAAGAACACCAGUGGCGAAGGCGGCUCACUGGCCCGGUACUGACGCUGAGGUGCGAAAGCGUGGGGAGCAAACAGG